rnacentral:rRNA from 1 species
GUGGGGAAUCUUGCGCAAUGGGCGAAAGCCUGACGCAGCCAUGCCGCGUGAAUGAUGAAGGUCUUAGGAUUGUAAAAUUCUUUCACCGGGGACGAUAAUGACGGUACCCGGAGAAGAAGCUCCGGCUAACUUCGUGCCAGCAGCCGCGGUAAUACGAAGGGGGCUAGCGUUGCUCGGAAUUACUGGGCGUAAAGGGCGCGUAGGCGGACAGCUUAGUCAGAGGUGAAAGCCCAGGGCUCAACCUUGGAAUUGCCUUUGAUACUGGCUGUCUUGAGUUUGGGAGAGGUGAGUGGAACUACGAGUGUAGAGGUGAAAUUCGUAGAUAUUCGGAAGAACACCAGUGGCGAAGGCGACUCACUGGCCCAAUACUGACGCUGAGGCGCGAAAGCGUGGGGAGCAAACAGGAUUAGAUACCCUUGUAGUCC